CACUAUAGUACCUAGAAACUUCUCCUCUCUCCCACGUUCCAUCGUGAUUAACAAGCUCUCCCUUUUUCUGCCUUGUUACUGCCGCCGCCGACCAGCCACCUCCGGCGGCUUCCCCCCUUCUCCCUUCUCUCUUUCUCUUCUCUCUUUCUGUUCUCUCUUCCUCUCUCCUUCUCUCUCUCGGAUCCGCACCGCCGCCGCCCCUGUGCAUGCACAGGCGGCGGCUUCGGCCUCCUCCGUGCCUCGUGCUGCUGGAGCAGCUUCCCGGCGCCACUCCAGCCCGGCCGCUGCCCCCUCGCCGUUUUCCGGAAGUCACUGGAAUCCGACAGUAUCUCCCCCAUGAGAUGAGUUUUCCAUCUCUGUGGUUGUUAUGGAUGCAGGCAGGGACGGAUCUAUUAGGCCUCCAAAAGGGGCAAAUGCCCCACCUAAAAAAAAUUCAUAUUCUAUUUUCCAAUUACAUAUGCAUGCUUGUUGUGUAUAGCGUUUGAAAGAAGGCCAUGGAGUUUACCUCUUUGAAGGCCAUGGAGUUUACCUCUUUGAUGUGGGACAAAGUGCUGUUGGAUUGAGGACUUGAUCCUUUUGUAAAAGAUUAGGAUUUGAUUCUUUUGUAAUAUUAGACCUUAUUGGACACUCGAUGCAUUUACCGGACAAUAAGAACUUUUAAUUUGGAUUUA